GUGAGGAAUUUUCCGCAAUGGGCGAAAGCCUGACGGAGCAAUGCCGCGUGAAGGAUGAAGGCCUAUGGGUUGUAAACUUCUUUUCUUGGAGAAGAAUAUUGACGGUAUCUGAGGAAUAAGCAUCGGCUAACUCUGUGCCAGCAGCCGCGGUAAGACAGAGGAUGCAAGCGUUAUCCGGAAUGAUUGGGCGUAAAGCGUCUGUAGGUGGCUUCAAAAGUCUCCUGUCAAAGAUCAGGGCUUAACCCUGGGCCGGCAUGAGAAACUCUGAGGCUAGAGUUUGGUAGGGGCAGAGGGAAUUCCCGGUGGAGCGGUGAAAUGCGUAGAGAUCGGGAGGAACACCAAAGGCGAAAGCACUCUGCUGGGCCACAACUGACACUGAGAGACGAAAGCGAGGGGAGCAAAAGGGAUUAGAAACCCGGGUAGUCC
rnacentral:rRNA from 1 species